GAAUCUGUCCGUUGGUCGGGCUUCAUUGUCCGUACUGGCGUGGUGGGUUCUUACCUUCUGAAUAACCAGCAUGCCAUUUACUUGGUGCGCUGGGGAAGCAGGACUAUUACCUUGAAAAAAUUAGAGUGCUCAAAGCAGGCUAGUGCCUGAAUACAUUAGCAUGGAAUAAUAAAAUAGGACGGCAUGGUUCUAUUUUGUUGGUUUCUAGGACCGAAGUA
rnacentral:rRNA from 1 species